rnacentral:rRNA from 1 species
AUUGAACGCUGGCGGCAGGCCUAACACAUGCAAGUCGAGCGAGCGGCGGACGGGUGUGUAAUGUAUGGGGACUGCCCGAUAGAGGGGGAUAACUACUGGAAACGGUGGCUAAUACCGCAUACUAUCCGAUAACCCAUAUGGAAUUAGCUAGUAGGUGGGGUAAAGGCUCACCUAGGCGACGACCUCUAGCGGGUCUGUGAGGAUGAUGAGCCACACUGUGAUGCAUACACGGCCCAGACUCCGACGGAGGCAGCAGUGGGGAAUAUUGCACAAUGGGCGCAAGCCUGAUGCAGCCAUGCAGCGUGUAUGAAGAAGGCCUUAGGGUUGUAAAGUACGUUCAGCGGGGAGGCGUUACCGGCAUAAAAAGCGCCGGCUAACUCCGUGCCAGCAGCCGCGGUAAUUC